ACCCCUUGACAAUGGGCAAGGAGACACCUGAUUGAUGGUGUUGCUCUUAUAUCAGUCAGGGGCAGAACACUUCUAGUCCUUUGUUCAUCCUAGCUUGAUGCCUGUUUGGUGGCCAGAGCUGUUUCAUGCCUAGGGCACAUAC